rnacentral:tRNA from 1 species
ACCUGGCUGGCUCAGUUGGUGGAGCGUGCAACUCUUGAUCUCAGGGUUGCGAGUUCAAACCCCACGCUGGGUG